GUGCUUGCUUCAGUAGCACAUAUACUAAAAUGAAAAUGAUACAGAGAAGAUAAGCAUGUCCCCUGCAUGAGGAUGACAUGCAAUAUCAUGAAGCAUUCUAUAAAAUG